rnacentral:rRNA from 1 species
ACCGUGUUAAGUCUCUUGGACAACGUCAUAGAGGGUGAGAAUCCCGUCUUUGACACCGUUUUCAGUGGUUUGUGAUGCGGUCUCAAAGAGUCGAGUUGUUUGGGAAUGAAGCUCAAAAUGGGUUCGAGAAUUCCAUCUAAAGCUAAAUAUUGGCGAGAGACCGAUAGCGAACAAGUACCGUGAGGGAAAGAUGAAAAGCACUUUGGAAAGAGAGUUAAACAGUCCGU